ACCUGGGACAGUUCAACUGGUGCAACAUGAGACUCUCCAUCUCAAGGACAUGAGUUGAAGCCCCAUGCUGGGCA